UCUACGGGUGGCAGCAGUGAGGAAUAUUGGUCAAUGGACGCAAGUCUGAACCAGCCAUGCCGCGUGCAGGAUGACGGCUCUAUGAGUUGUAAACUGCUUUUGUACAAGGGUAAACCUGAAUACGUGUAUUCAGCUGAAAGUAUUGUACGAAUAAGGAUCGGCUAACUCUGUGCCAGCAGCCGCGGUAAUACGGAGGAUCCAAGCGUUAUCCGGAUGGAUUGGGGGUAAAGGGUGCGUAGGCGGUUUGAUAAGUUAGAGGUGAAAUGUCGGGGAUUAAACCCGAAAAUUCCUCUAAUAUUGUUGAACGAGAGAAUAGUUGAGGUAGGCGGAAUGUAUGGAGUAGCGGGGAAAUGCGUAGAGAUUAUAUAGAAAAGCGAGUGCGAAGGCAGAUUACGAAACUAGAUCUGACGUUGAGGCAAGAAAGCGUGGGUAGCAAACAGGAGUAGAGACCCGAGUAGUC
rnacentral:rRNA from 1 species